rnacentral:rRNA from 1 species
AGUGAACGCUGGCGGUAGGCCUAACACAUGCAAGUCGAACGGCAGCACAGGAGAGCUUGCUCUCUGGGUGGCGAGUGGCGGACGGGUGAGGAAUACAUCGGAAUCUACUUUUUCGUGGGGGAUAACGUAGGGAAACUUACGCUAAUACCGCAUACGACCUACGGGUGAAAGCAGGGGACCUUCGGGCCUUGCGCGAUUGAAUGAGCCGAUGUCGGAUUAGCUAGUUGGCGGGGUAAAGGCCCACCAAGGCGACGAUCCGUAGCUGGUCUGAGAGGAUGAGCAGCCACACUGGAACUGAGACACGGUCCAGACGCCUACGGGAGGCAGAAGUGGGGAAUAUUGGACAAUGGGCGCAAGCCUGAUCCAGCCAUACCGCGUGGGUGAAGAAGGCCUUCGGGUUGUAAAGCCCUUUUGUUGGGAAAGAAAUCCAGCUGGCUAAUACCCGGUUGGGAUGACGGUACCCAAAGAAUAAGCACCGGCUAACUUCGUGCCAGCAGCCGCCGUAA